rnacentral:lncRNA from 1 species
UUUGCGAAACAUGUUUUUCCCGCCCACACCUCCAAAGGUCGGUCAUAUUAGACCAUAGGAUUCAAAUGUUUAGCCUUCCUAAUUGUAUUCCAAGGAAAAUAACCUACUCAUAAUUCAUAUCCCACACUGUGUAAUGUAUCCUUCACCAUUUUCUCGCAGGCUAAGUUAAACCACAUCAAGAUUAAUUAUCCAUCACCUUUAGAAAGAGCCUUUGAGUUCCUGUUGUCAUCACCAGGAGGCAUUCUGCAUUUUGAAUGAGCCUUCUAUCAGUAAGCAGAGAGUUGGAGAUCAACAUGAGUGGAUCUGGAACAUAUAUAGCAUCUGAAAAUUUAAGAAGGUAAGAAAGAGUUAGAUUCAUGAUUAUAAUUAAAUCUGCAAAGUUACAUGGAUCAUGAUCAGUUUCAAUAUUCUUUUCUUAAGAUAUGAUUUCUCGGAUGCUUCAGAACAACCAUAAUUACAAUGAGCUUGUGAAAAGGAGUAGAGAACUACAAUUCCAGUUCUAAAGGUGGUAAGCUUAAAUGAGGAUGAAAAGUUCAUGGUGGCUUCCUACUUCCCUUUAAUUCAACCUUUUAUCUAGUAGUCAUCAACAAUCUUCUUACAAUGAGGAAAUGCUAUGAAGGGUGUCCGACAAGGAUUGGAAUUUGGUGGUACUGGGGGUGUCAGUCAGCCGUAAAAACAACAUAUCGCAUGCUGUUAUACCUAGCACAACCAUUGUGUCAUUCCAAAAGGAAAGAUAAAAGAGAGCGAGAGAGAGAGAGAUGCUUUAGCUAGUGAACAAUUACAAGGAAAGAAAAAGAUUUUGAAAUAUGUAUGUCAUCAGAUCACCCUCUCAUCUCCCAGCAGCAAUGUCCUUCUCCAGAUUUGUAGCAUGGCAUUCAAAGAAAAUGAGAGCCUUCUUGUAUUCUUCUCUUAUAAACUCUCUUAGGUAGUGGGUUGAAUUGAAUCUGUUGAAAGGUCGGUAGGAGCAAGGCCAGAGCUCAUAUCACACAUUAUUUUCCUCCUCUCCAUUUGUUACUGUAGGAGUUAUGAUAACUUGGCUACAGCUUGAGAAAACCAUCUUUCAAUGGACCAAACCAGUCUAUUGGUGAUCAGUCUACAAAGCGUAAGCCACAAACCCUAAGAUUUUAUUUUAAGCCUUUACGCUUAGUUUGGAUUUCGGCUAUCGGAUAACAGGAAGAGUUUUGCUAGUGUUAGAUGAAACCUAAACUAAUUCUUCAUCAUUAGUGGUGGCUAGUCAACAAUUUCUAUCCAUCCUCCCCUCUGGAAAUUGCUUAGAGAGAAAUAG